rnacentral:rRNA from 1 species
GUAAGGAAUAUUGGACAAUGGGGGAAACCCUGAUCCAGCCAUGCCGCGUGUGUGAUGAAGGCCUUCGGGUUGUAAAACACUUUUAGAUGUGACGAUGAUGACGGUAACAUCAGAAAAAGCUCCGGCUAACUUCGUGCCAGCAGCCGCGGUAAUACGAAGGGAGCGAGCGUUGUUCGGAAUCACUGGGCGUAAAGCGUGCGUAGGCGGUUUUGUAAGUAAGAAGUGAAAGCCUGGGGCUCAACCUCAGAAUUGCUUUUUAGACUGCAAGGCUAGAGUACCGGAGAGGCUAAUGGAAUUCCGAGUGUAGAGGUAAAAUUCGCAGAUAUUCGGAGGAACACCAGUGGCGAAGGCGAUUAGCUGGACGGUAACUGACGCUGAGGCACGAAAGCGUGGGGAUCAAACAGG